CCCUUAGAUGUCCUGGGCCGCACGCGCGCUACACUGAUGCAUUCAACGAGUUUUACCUUGGCCGAGAGGCCUGGGCAAUCUUUUAAACCUGCAUCGUGAUAGGGAUAGAUUAUUGCAAUUAUUAAUCUUGAACGAGGAAUUCCUAGUAAACGCAAAUCAUCAAUUUGCAUUGAUUACGUCCCUGCCCUUUGUACACACCGCCCGUCGCACCUACCGAUUGAAUGGUCCGGUGAAGCCUCGGGAUUGUGGCCAGUUCACUUUAUUGGGAGUUGGCUGUGAGAACUUGUCUAAACCUUAUCAUUUAGAGGAAGGUGGAGUCGUAACA
rnacentral:rRNA from 1 species